CUACGGGUCGCUGCAGUGGGGAAUAUUGCACAAUGGGCGAAAGCCUGAUGCAGCAACGCCGCGUGAGCGAUGAAGGCCUUCGGGUCGUAAAGCUCUGUCCUCAAGGAAGAUAAUGACGGUACUUGAGGAGGAAGCCCCGGCUAACUACGUGCCAGCAGCCGCGGUAAUACGUAGGGGGCUAGCGUUAUCCGGAAUUACUGGGCGUAAAGGGUGCGUAGGUGGUUUCUUAAGUCAGAGGUGAAAGGCUACGGCUCAACCGUAGUAAGCCUUUGAAACUGAGAAACUUGAGUGCAGGAGAGGAGAGUAGAAUUCCUAGUGUAGCGGUGAAAUGCGUAGAUAUUAGGAGGAAUACCAGUUGCGAAGGCGGCUCUCUGGACUGUAACUGACACUGAGGCACGAAAGCGUGGGGAGCAAACAGGAUUAGAUACCCCAGUAGUC
rnacentral:rRNA from 1 species